UUUAUAACCUUCCAAAGAUGCAGGAAAAGAUGGUAAUCCCAUCAUUGAAGGCGGGGGAGCUCUUGAAGAGAUGAGGGAAGGUGCACUAUCAGUGCUUAGGCCCAACAUUAUAAAUAAGAUCCCGGACAGCAGUGUGACUCUCCCGAGUUGAUCCUUCCACACUUGUGCAGGCUGAACCAAAAUAGAUAGUAUGGCUAAGUACGCAACCAAUGACAAACGCAUGACUACAUUUGAUUUUGCCGGUAAUAUAACCAGAGUAAAGAGCCAUGCCAAUUUGAUUCUUGGAUCGACAGAGUGCACCAAAGUGAAUGGAGAAGGUAUGUACUGUGCAAUGGGGCUAGAAGUUGCUCCAGAUAUAGCUCUAAAUAGUUUAUCAGCUCCAAGAAUUUUUUUUGGCGACCAUUUUUCAAGAAUUUCUG
rnacentral:misc_RNA from 1 species